GCCCGAGGAUGGCUCGAUCAAUCCAACCAUCAUCAAAUAGUUCAACAGAGUCAUCAUAUGAUAAAUGAUAAUUCCAUUAUUCAAAGGGAACACCAGACAGAUGGCGCCUGCAAUGUCAAUCAUAAAUAAUGGAUUUAUUACUAUCACCUUAAUGGGAGGUUAUGAUCUAGUUAUCACCAUAACCAACUUACUUUAGAGACCU
rnacentral:lncRNA from 1 species